UUGGAGGGCAAGUCUGGUGCCAGCAGCCGCGGUAAUUCCAGCUCCAAUAGCGUAUAUUAAAGUUGUUGCAGUUAAAAAGCUCGUAGUUGAAUUUCGGGAUCGACGGGUCGGUCGCGCCUCUGGUGUGUACUGGCCCUGUCGGUUUCUCCCUUCUGACGAACCACGAUGUCAUUAAUUUGGUGUCGUGGGAAAUCAGGACUGUUACUUUGAAAAAAUUAGAGUGUUUAAAGCAGGCAUUCGCUUGAAUACAUUAGCAUGGAAUAAUGAAAUAGGACGUUUGAUCUUAUUUUGUUGGUUUCUAAGAUCGACGUAAUGAUUAAUAGGGAUAGUUGGGGGCAUUAGUAUUCAAUUGUCAGAGGUGAAAUUCUUGGAUUUAUUGAAGACUAACUACUGCGAAAGCAUUUGCCAGGGAUGUUUUCAUUAAUCAAGAACGAAAGUUAGGGGAUCGAAGACGAUCAGAUACCGUCGUAGUCUUAACCAUAAACUAUGCCGACUAGGGAUCGGAUGAUGUUAAUUUUUUAAUGACUCAUUCGGCGCCUUACGGGAAAC
rnacentral:rRNA from 1 species